UCAUAUCUAAAAAAAAAUAAUUCAGCUCAGUUCACAAAACCUGGACUUUAAAAAACAUUCAAAAUUUCUAAUAUUCUUUAAUUAAUAAUCAAAAAUAAAAUUUUACAUCUAAGAGAGGAAGACAGUCGAGACUGCCGCCAGCGAGGAAGACGGUCGAGAUUGUCGCCGGCGAGGUAGAGACAACCCUAUCGCCGUGAGGGGAAGGGGUCUGGUGCUUAUCAUCCACCAGAGGGGUUGACCAGUAGGAGUAGCCAGCAACCCUGGGUUUCCUCCUCAAGCGUUUUUCGAUUCAACCUUUACUUGUUGAAUUCCCGCAGUCUGUCAAUGGGCUUUCCAUUCUAGGAGGCGUACGUAGAUUUGCCUCCACCCAUUGCUCAGAUUUAGGUUGAUUUCUUGAUUACCGAGGGUUACCCCUACCGACCAAGAAACAUUAGGCUGCUGGUAUAGACCAUUCACUACUACUUUACGCAAUCCAAGUAACCACUUUGCUAAGUUCAUUCCCAGAUAUAGUGGUAAAAGUAGGUGAAUGCACUAAUACCUGAGUCAUCUUGUCAUUUUUUAAUUGGUUCUACCUUAGAUUCAGUUUCCUGGAUGCUUUGGAUGCUUACCAUGCCUACUAUCUGAACUCGUGGCUGUGAAAAAGGCUUCUGGGAAGUAUCCUGCAAUUUUAGUCCAUGCUUCUCCUAACGAUAAGACAAUACUGGAUCUGAAUAAAGACGAAUCGGAUCCUACGGGCAUCGCGGGUUUACGAAGCAAUAUUAUUGAAAUUGGGGGGAGAUUUAAGAGUGGGAUAUCUAACUUUUCCAAGAAUAUUCCUGUAUCGGAGAUCACUAAAAUGACGUCCAACUUACUGCAACUGGGAGAAGAGGAGGAGGAAGAUUCAGAUUUUGACUUACCUGAUGCACAACAAGAGCAUGCAUUAGCUGUUAAGCGUCUUGCUCCAAGACUGGCCGCUUUGAGAAUUGAACUCUGCCUAAGUUACAUGAGUGAAGAUCGCUUUUGGGAGAUUUACUUUGCACUCCAGCACCCUAGACUGGAUAAAUAAGAUACGGAACUUUUAGCCACACCCCAGAUUCUUUCUCUGGAACAUGAACGCUUGGAUCUAUAAUGUUGGCUUAUUCAAGCAGUGACCUAUGCAUAAUGAAACUUGCCAACAACCAGAGAGAAAUAUGAUAUCAGGAAUGCAGCCAGUAGCUAAUCAACCAUCGAAUUAAUUCCUAUAACUUGAAUUUUCUGUCAAUUCAUGAAUGUUAAACACACAAUGUGACAAAUUAGUAAGAAUGAAGCAGGCAACAACACAACACUGAAGAAAAAAGUUUUGAAUCCAAAAAAAGCUCAAAGUCCUUAGAAGAUAAAGUUGUACAACAUUAAGAGUUGUUCAAGUACUAUGCUGCAAGAAUCAUUAUGUUUUCUAUUGUUUUGGUGCACCAUUCCAUUCCUGGACCUCCAAACAUGAUAUAUAACUGCUCUCCAAAGUGCAGCGGUGACUUCCUUCUGGAACCUAUUGCAUUAUUUCCUCUUAAUUCUCCCUAUGACUUGUUUUGAACUUCUUGUGGAAAUAUGAAUACCGGCCGGCUGUGUAUUUUUUUGUCUCACUCCUAAUCCACACACAAGUAUCAAAGAGAUGGCUAUGCGUCUCUACGAUCAAAUCAUCUCAUAGUUAACAAGUAGCCUCCUCCACUAGAAUCCGGAUUCUGCUUAGUAUUUCCUUAGUCAGUAGUCCGUCUAGUACUGCGAAUCAUAGUAUAAAAUAUUAAUCUAUGCUUGGGUUUAUCUACUCUGGUCCAUAUCAGCAGCUACUCUGAGCCUACUCUGCACCCCUAAUGGAGCAUUAUAGCUCUUACUUAUUCAGUAUUGUGCUCCUGGAUUAAGUAGAUAAUUACCUUGACCAUAUCAUGCCUGCAUAUGUCCACUUUUAAAGAGUUCACCCUCUUCCUAUACCAUCUGGAAUCUAGUUGAGGAGUAUGAGUCCAUAUACUAACAGGGCUCAUGUCACUAAGGUUCUUGAAAUCAGCUAAACUAUAGUAACGUGGCAAUGCAUGGAAAAAGCAAAGGUACUUAAGUUGGUCUGAGGUGAGAUUGGUAAGUGAGGGAUUUUUGAAUGAGGUAAAGGCUGAGUCUUUGGGAACAAAACGUGUGAUUCCUUGUUCUAUGUUGUUAGCUUGUGUUUGGAAAGUCUCAAUAACUUUAGUCUAUCCGGAGUAGUUAAGGAACGUGUGGAAAGGGCCGACAGAGAGUAAGUCCAUUAGGUUUGUGAAUUCAAGACCUCGUGUUGGUGCUGGAGCCAUGAUUGGAGCUUCAUUCGCUUUUCCUUUCACGACUACAGUUGACAAUUGAAGGACUAGCAGUUGACCUUUUUUGAGAAAGAAAAAAAGUCAACUAUAGCAGUAGACUACUAAGCAGAAAGUUUGCAUCUUUAGCUAAAAUUAGCUCAGAGUUUGCAUUUUUAGCUAAAAUUAGUGCAUUUGGCUUGUAUAUCAUGUGUGCUGUUGUUGAUCCCAUAGAUCCAGGAGUUUUUAAAUCCAAGAAGUAUCUAAAGAAACUAGACAAGAAAAAGCAAGUCCAAGUUAAAGAAUCUAAAUCAGAAAGUGAGACGAAUUCGUCUAUCUAGGAUGCUAAUGCUGCAUCAAUUGGGGAAAAUGCAUCUGCAAAAAGCAAUAAAGGAACUGAACCAGCUGCAUAUCAUAAUGAAACUGAACAAGAAGUUACAGCUACUCGUCAAAGAUCUCGCUCUUCCAGAUUGUUGGCUCUACUACCUUGUGCUCUUAUCCGCAACUGUGCAGGUAAACAUACUGAAUCUUCUCAGCAAUAGUUGAGUGAAGAUGGCAUGUUCUACUGCAGUUUGUGUGAAGUAGAGGUAUUUAAAUAAAGCAAGCAUUGUAUAGUAUGACAUUAGAUGGACUGUUAUAGGCUCAACAACUGCUUUUACAUUAUCAUCUUCUCUCUCAGAUUGCCUAGGCAUAGGCGAAAUGUGAAAGCAUGGAAUGUUUGCAUUGGCACAUGAUCGGCAUUUUAUAUGUUCUUUUCGAUAUUAAUUUUCUUGAUCUAUCUAAAUAUUCGAGUGCUAGUUUUUAUUUGUUGAAGACGUGUGGUUUUGGUUUUACAGUAAAGAGGAAGCUGGCAUGAAAACUGCGAAACUAAGAGUUGAGAAAGAGGUCUUGGAUAGGCAGCAACUUGCUGAUAUUGAUGCUCAGAAAAAUCUAAUAGAAAAUCUUCAGCAACUUGAAAAUUGGAAGCAUGAGUUUGUGUCUCAAGAGAAACAGAUGCAAGAAAGGUUGAAGAAAAUUCUUGAUGCAGUUAAGAAGCAUGACGAAGAACAGAAACGGGUGAAAGAAGAACAGCGCGAGAUGAAAAAUAAACUUCAACGUUCCAGAGAUAAACAUGACAAUUUGCGAAAACGACUUGAUGAAGUAGAAGACCAACUGCGUGAAUUGAAGGCUGAGAGACAUAAAAAUGAGAGAGAUGCCAGAUUGUCUCAAGCAGUUGAAACUCUGAAGCAUCUGUUUCCUGGUGUUCAUGGUCGAAUGACAGAUCUUUGCAGGCCAGCACAGAAGUAGUAUAACCUUGCUGUAACAGUUGCAAUGGACAGAUAUAUGGAUGCAGUAGUAGUUGAGGAUGAACAAACAGGAAAAGAAUGCAUCAAGGUGCGAAAACAACUAUGUCAUAGUAGUGAUAUUUCUAAUAUCUAGUUAGUAGGGAUACAUUUGGUUUUGUUCGGAACUUGGUACAAAAUUUUUAUUAUGUUGUUUUCUAAUUAGUAUGUAAAAGACAUGUUUUUUUGAAAUCAAAUUUAUGCACUUCAAUUAUUUAUUAGC